rnacentral:lncRNA from 1 species
CAAUCAAAACCAAGAUUUCUGCUCAUAAAAUAAGGCACUCCAUAAAGAAGUUUACAAAGGUACCAUCAUUGCAUAUUGUUUCCAGAACUUCAAAGUUCAAACCCCAUAAGAAAAGAAUAAAACACAAUAAAACUUCGAACCAACUAAAAACACAUAUAUGCAGCAAGAUUUGAUCAGAAAAAUAGGAAAUUUCCUUGCUUCUUCUUUUUUACUUUGGCAUUUUUGACGAGAUAGAAAUGUAAAAAGAGAGGCAGAGACAAUGUGUAUAGUUGUUCUUACCAAGAAAAUCUUUAGAAGAAGACUGAGAUAUCACUUUUCUACACAAAUUUUGAACCAGAAGAAGGAGGAGAAGCCACUGGUUAAACAUUUCGACCCU